CUGAGGAGCAGCUGGACCGCACAAAUUAUUUAUUUUAAAAAAAGAAAAAGCACCUAUUUGACUGAUUUGAUGCAUAAAAAAUGACCGCAAAUUCACCGGGAACAGCUUUCAGAAAAUCCUCUGAAGAUUUAAAGCAUCCCAUCAGCCAAAAUCCCUGCCAAAUCUGAGAAAUUCUUCACCUCAAGUACUGCACACGGACAACAAAGCGCCGGAGCCGGCCACGGGCGUUCCCGCCAUCAGUUCUCAUGUGGACUACCUCACCUCGCCUCAUUCUAUCUCUGCAAGUGUUGUCCCACACCUCACACAGGGUCCAGACCUAACAAGUUUGUUUACAUCCUGUUUACGUCCUAGGAUUUUUAUUGACCAAGUAGACAAUCAGUGUUUAAAAUAGUGACAGAGUAUUUACAGUGUGUAUAAAUGAAGUUUUUAUGUGUUUUUUUAUGCAUCUAAGACGGUGGAGGAGAGGAACUAAUGCCUUAUGUCUUUAUAAGAAAAGGCCACAAAAAGAACUUGUUUUAGACUUUUAGAAGAGGUUUCCUAAUCACACAGAAGAAGAGAGUUUUAGCAGGAAAGCACCCUUUAACGUUUAAGAAGAAUGUGGACAGAAUGACGCCAGCAGGAAGUCACUGUUGUGUUUUGUGAUUAAAAAAAAAAAAUCUCCUUUAGUGAUGAUGGAGCCUUCAGUGUCAACGUCUUUCGAUGUCAACGAACAAACAAGGUAUCAAAGAAAAAAAACGUUUACUGUGCUGUACUUUGUGCCUAAAAAAUGAUUUAAAAAUAGAAGUUAUUAGUUUUUUUUCCUCUUGUGGGUGUGUGAGCGUGAGUGAAAAAUUAAGACUAAGGAAACAGCAUUUUACUGCCUGCACUCGGUAUAUUAACAGUUGGUAUGCCAGAUGUGCAGAGUGUCGAUGAUGAAGACGAGGAAUCGUUUUCAGCCCUUUAUAGAACAACGUUGUGGCCCUCACGUGGCAAACCUUCAACUGUGCGCCUUAUAGUGUAGAUUGUUUACAUUACUGUAGGCGGUGAAGAUGCUGCUCUUUACAGAUGUCAUGAAAAAAUCCUGUUUUGACAAAAAAACAAAAAAAAUAAUGAAGAAGAUUUUUGUUUCCUGAUUGUGUCCCUGCAGGGAUAUGGUGAACUGUGACUUUUGCUGAUAUUUGAUGUUUUUGUGAUCUGCCGUGGCCUUUUUCUGCACAAUGCAGGUGUUGCAGUGCUGUGCUGAGGUGUUUCUCUUCUUUUUAUGCUGCAUGUAUCUCCUGCAGAGUAUCCUGUCUGUGCAUGAUAAAUGGUGAAGUGCUUUAAUCCUGAUGUUGUAGCUGUGGGUCAGUUGCUCCAGCAGAUUUUUUUCUCCCGUCUUCACUAAAAGCCUUUUGAUUUUAUGCUUUUUUUUAUGCUUUUUUUUUUAAAUAAAAAGAAUCACUGUCCACAACUACCUUUUUACCUUUUUAAGCUUUAUUUCAUCAGUCUCAUCCGACCAACAUUGUGCAUGCCUUGGUGACAAACAAGUAAAACAGGGAGGAGAGCUUUCUGACCUUUUCAAGGAGGCUGUUUGUGCCGGAGGCGCUCACAUUUUUUCCAAUUUUAUCAGUGACUGGCAGUAUUAGCCGCCAGGUGUCUCGAUUGGUUUUCUGUGAAACCAGACACUUUGUCUGGUUGCAAACAAACACACACAUACACACACUGAAGUCUCCAGACUGAAGCCCCACAGCUCUGCUCUUUGAGCUGAGACUGUCCAGAAUGCCACACAGAAUAACAAUCUCUCUGAAACAAACACCGACUGGGUUGUUGUGUAAUUAUCUGCUGCUCUCUUCCAUAAAAGAGCCUGCAUCGUGUCUUCCUCUGAAGGGAAUUUAUCCACCAACAAGUGGUGCGGAUUUCUGUUCUUAUUUAAUAAUUCUGCCUGAUAAUGGCUUCCUCUGUACCUUUUCAAGGGAGAGAAGAGGAGUGGAUCGGAAUUUUAAACGAUUGCUGAUUCUGCUGAGGAGAAACUUGCAGUCUUCAAAGUGAAGUAAGCGCCGGCUUCCCUGUCACCUCUGACAACGGCAGCGCUCAGGGAACACUGGCAGCAAAGAAAAGAGGAUUUCUGCUGCAUUUGACGAGAUAAGACAAUUCUUUUCAAAUGACAUUUUAAGAAAUGGUUAAUAAAUGAAGCUUUUGGGAAAUAUUCCAA